UACGUAGGGGGCUAGCGUUGUCCGGAAUCAUUGGGCGUAAAGCGCGUGUAGGCGGUCCGGUAAGUCCGCUGUGAAAGUCGGGGGCUCAACCCUCGGAUGCCGGUGGAUACUGUCGGGCUAGAGUGCGGGAGAGGCGAGUGGAAUUCCUGGUGUAGCGGUGAAACGCGCAGAUAUCAGGAAGAACACCCGUGGCUAAGGCGGUUCUCUAGUACGGUACUGACGCUGAGACGCGAAAGCGUGGGGAGCGAACAGG
rnacentral:rRNA from 1 species